rnacentral:tRNA from 1 species
UGGUAAGUAUUUUAAACAAAACAAAUGAUUUCGACUCAUUAGAUUAUGACAACCAUUCUAACCCA